CAUAUCCUCUUUAAUAAGCAGCUCCUUUAAAAUACACUUGGCAAGUAUAAAAGCAGUAAUAGAUCCAUAUGCUUCCAACCAUUUGAAUAAAUAAUGUUUAUUAAGUAAGAUAACUUGAUAAGGAUAGGAAAUUCCUGCAGGAGUAAAACACAAUUGUCAAAAAUAUAGUGUAAAUAUAGCUAAAGUAUGCUCAGCUGUAGUGAGUAAUAUAGAACAAUGAACAGCAGAAGAAAGUCUUGUGGCAACAUCGCAUGAUAGUUUUAAUGUUUUGUAGCCUUAAAAUAUACUUUAUUUUGUACUGUAUUUUUUUACUGCAUGUAUACCAUUAGAUAUUAGCCUAAAUGUAACUUAUUAGGCUAUAAUACAAUUACCGCUUCUGCAUAUAGUAUUUACUGUUGGGUAAUUUUGUUAUAAAAUGGUUAAACCUUAACAUUUGCAAAAACUUUAGUGCUGGUAAAACUGUCUCAUAAGUGACUACAUUUGGGCCGUUUUCUGAAUGUAUCCAAGUUUUGUCUUGACUAAAAAGUGCAGCAAGCCACGCUUCUCACUCAAUAUAUGCUCGGAAGUAGCAUAGACCUAUAUGAAGUCAAAGAUAUCUUAGAUCCAUGUAAAGCUAAAAUGCUUUAACCCCUUAAAGGGUUACUCCACGCCUAGACAUCUUAUCCCCUAUCCAAAGGAAAAGGGGAUAAGAUAUCUGAUCGCUGGGGUCCCCCGCGAUCUCGGCUGCAGAGACUUGCAUUGAGGGUGCGUGGCCGUGCCGUCAUGAGCGGGCACGGCUGUGACGUCACGAGCCUCCAGAGCUGCACCUGACGCUAUAAAUGAAUGCCAGGUGCAGCAGGGAGAUUCUUUGAAUAGGGGAUAAGAUGUCUAUGGGCUGAGUACCCCUUUAAGGAAACGUGCUGUAAAUGUACGGCAGUGCAGGCUGACACUUGUACAUUUAUGGUGUUGCUAAGAAGUGAGCACAGGAGCUGUGCUCUCUUUAUAGCAGGUGAGUACCGGCUGCUAUCAGCAGCUGGGUACUCACCACUAAUGGUGGACAUUGGUGAUAAUGCCGUUAUUUGCCAUUAGCCCUUUAAAAGCCGUGAUCAACCUGUCCUAUCAGCUCAUAGGGGGAGAUUUUUCAAAACCUAUACAGGGGAAGAGUGGCAACCAAUCAGAUUACUACUUUCAUUUUUAAAAAGACCUGUGAAAAAUGAAAAGCAAUCUGAUUGGUUGCCAUGGACAGCUGCCCCACUCUUCCUCUAUACAGGUUUUGAUAAAUCUCCCCCAUAGUGUAGAUUUUCCCCCUCCAUAUUGCUUUGCUGCUGAGGGAAAGGAAAAACAGCGUUUCUGUGUAAGUAUUAAUAAUAAAUCUGUAGGUUUUGACAGAAACCUGUGGAUAGACACACUUUGUUGGGUUAAAAAUGCAAUUUGUGGGGUUGACUGGGUUUCUACUUGUCGCAAUUUGCUAAAAUGUUGGCGCUUGAAAAUGGGUUGCGAAAAUUUUGUUGUAAAAGCCAACUUUGGGCUAUUUGUAAUUUAAUGCAGGUACUGUAAGUACUAGAGUGUUCAUCUUAAAACCCGCAUAGAUAUUAUUAGAUACCAUAUUGUAUGAUUAGAUUGAAUGAUAUAAAAAGAGCUAACUGCAGUCUUAGUGAGUAUUAACAUUUUACUUAGAAAUUACACCAAUAAACUUGUCUUAUAAAAUAUACAUGUUCAAAAAUACCAUAGUGUUGUCUUUACAUUAUUUAGUACGUCCAAAUUCUCUCAUUUUUUACAGAGUAGGUACAUUUAGGAAAAAUAUAUUAAAAAAAACAAAAAACACAAUAUCCUUUAGUGUUUUCAGCAAACAUACAACCAGAAAUUGUUAUAGUUACUGUACAAUAUUUGUAUCAUCUAAAGUAAGAAUAAUGGUUAUGUAAGGUAAACUUUACAUUACAUUAUUUAUUUGAAUACAAGGUAUGAAUAUAGUUUUGUGUCACUCACUGAACCUACCAACAUUUGCCCCACUAUAGUAUAGUGUAUAUAAAUAAAUUAUACAUUUUUAUAUAAUUAUAUGACUUCUGACAAUAGUCUUGGCUGCUAUGGUUUACUUUCCCUAAAGGGGUACUCCAGCAUUUGAUAACCUAAAACCUUUCUACAGGAUAGGGGAUAAAUGUAUGAUUGUGGGGGGGUCCCUGUAGUCGAAACCCCCCACGAUCUCCAGAACAGCACCUGAAUGUCCCUGUGCAGGGUGCGAGGGGUUGACAUGCCCACUCUGAACAUUCUCUAUGGGAGCACUAGAGGUACACAAGCACUGUACUCGUGUAUCUCCAGCACUCUCAUAGAGAAUGCAUAAAGGGGACAUGUUCUGGAGAUCAGUGGGGUCCCAGUGGUUGGACCGCCCCUCGAUCAAAAACUUAUCCCCUAUUCGGUGAAUAGAGGAUAAGUUAUCAAACGCUGGAGUACCUCUUUAAGAAACAGUGCUAUAUGUCAGAAUUUAUACAUACUGUAUAUUUAUUUUCCCAGGAAUACAAUAACAUUGUGAUGAGUAGACGAAGACCUGAAUUUGAGGCUUAGAAUCUCAUUGGGGCAUCAUGUUAGGUACGCUUUAAGUAUUGCAAGAUAGGGACUCCAUUUAACUCCCAUUUUGGUGAUAAUCUGUGACACGGCACUCUGAGAAGCAUAUCUAGGAACUUGACAGGCAGACCCACCAGAUGAGAACUACAAAGACGAGUGGACUUUCAACCGAUGAUUAAGGGUCCAGUUUGAUCCGAAACACGUUGGAUAUUGUUCCUGUGUACUUCCAUGUGAUCCAUAAUAAAGAGUUCUUGUUUUAUUUUUCAUACUGAGCUGGACAUCUCUUCUUGUUGUGCUACUCUACUGGGCCUGGAAGCACUGCCGGCCAGUCUGUGCGCAAGUGAAUGGAUUUAGCAGUGGAGAGCUGUCGGCACCUUUCCUUCUCAGAUAUAGUACUUAAGGUAAUGUCUAUCACCCUCAAGGCUGAGGUAAUGAGGAGAGUCAGAUGCUAUCUUCAAGGAGUGCCAACCUGGUAUCCAGUUUAAGAAACCGGCUGGAUAUGUGCAUACAAAGAGAAACACAAGUACUAUACUGGCACUGCUCAAAGGAAUUCUUCCAUCAACUUCAGAAUGUAUCUUCAGUCAAGUUUAUUGACAAAUAAGGUUAUAGACAAAAUUAUUACGCAUCUUGGGGGAGUAAUCUUCCUUCAUCAGAGUGCAUACACUUCACAGCAAACAGAGAGCAUAUGAAUAUACAGAAAAGGUACCAAUUCAACCCAAUGGAAGGGUGGAACAUGCCAGUAAAAUGAAUGAUUAUACAUGUAAGAAAAAAUCCAAUAAACCUUAUAGGGUAAGCAAAGGUAUAUAUGCAGUAUGCACUAGCAGAAAUGAUAUGAAUAAAAUACCAUACAGUCAAGUGUAUAAAAUCUUAUAAUGAGGUUUGAAUGGUAAACAAGUAAAUAAAAAUCACAAGAUAGUUGACAUGGGUAAUUGGGCCUGGAGCACAUUCACAGGGUCAAAGUUCAGUCAGUGGAUGGCAUUAUUGUAACCAUGGAAUUGCAGUCAGAGAGAGCAGUGGUAAUAUUAGCAUACUCAGCCAAUGAGAGUAUCAAAAGAUGAAAACGCUAAACAAUAGAUAAAUUACCAUAUCAGGUGUCAUCUCUGAUCACAUGGUGGAAACUAUCCAAU